CAGCCCUAAACGAUGCGCGUUAGGUGUAUCGGUGACCACGAGUCACCGAGGUGCCGAAGGGAAACCGUGAAACGUGCCGCCUGGGAAGUACGGUCGCAAGGCUGAAACUUAAAGGAAUUGGCGGGGGAGCACCACAACGGGUGGAGCUUGCGGUUUAAUUGGAUUCAACGCCGGAAAUCUUACCGGGACCGACAGCAACAUGAAGGCCAGGCUGAAGACUUUGCCGGAUUAGCUGAGAGGAGGUGCAUGGCGUCAGUGACU
rnacentral:rRNA from 1 species